rnacentral:rRNA from 1 species
GCUAAGUGUGUAGAGCAAGGGCACUUGAGUAGUAGUAGAUAUGUUCUUGAAAUUUAAAGGAUUUGGCGGCAUUCAAGUCUAGUUAGAGGAACCUGCUCCGUGAACGAUAUGCCACGAAGUAUCUUACUUUGCUUAGUAUGUCAGUUUGUAUACCUCCAUUAUAUAAGUAUUGUUUUUAAAUAGAUAUUAGAACAGUCGUUUAUACUAGCGUAUUAGGUCAAGGUGCAGCCUAUAGUGAAGAGGUUGUGGGUUACAUUGUAUUUUAUAUUUCGGAUAUUGGCUUGCAAGUGGUCAUUUGAAGGUGGAUUUAAUGGUAUGCUCUUUUUAACAAGUGGGGUUGAUAGUAGCUCUAGGGUGUGU